rnacentral:rRNA from 1 species
CCUACGGGAGGCAGCAGUGAGGCAUAUUGGUCAAUGGGCGCGAGCCUGAACCAGCCAAGUAGCGUGAAGGAUGACUGCCCUACGGGUUGUAAACUUCUUUUAUAAAGGAAUAAAGUGAGGCACGUGUGCCUUUUUGUAUGUACUUUAUGAAUAAGGAUCGGCUAACUCCGUGCCAGCAGCCGCGGUAAUACGGAGGAUCCGAGCGUUAUCCGGAUUUAUUGGGUAUAAAGGGAGCGUAGAUGGGUUGUUAAGUCAGAUGUGAAAGUAUGCGGAUCAACCGUAAUAUUGCAAUUGAUACUGGCAGGCGUGAGUACAGUUGAGGUAGGCGGAAUUCGUGGGGUAGCGGUGAAAGGCUGAGAUAUCACGAAGAACUCCGAUUGCGAAGGCAGCUUACUAAACUGCCACUGACAUUGAUGCUCGAAAGUGUAGGUAUCAAACAGGAUUAGAUACCCCUGUAGUC